rnacentral:lncRNA from 1 species
CAGGCGUUCGGCAUAAGGCUGGCUCCAUAAGCAUCCAGCAAAGGAGAAGAGAAUCAGUUGGGGAACACAGCGAGAUGCAGAAAGGAUGGAAAGUGGUCAUGGAACGUCCUCUAGCCUUGGAGAGAGACAGUCCUGCUUCGCCCCUACAUCCAGAGAAUUUGACGUCAAUCACUGCACCACCAUCUUGCUUCCUGCUCUGCACUCUAAUCCAUUGCCUGGCCACACAUCUCCUCCCCAGUCACUUGGGAGCCUAGUCUGUUCCAGACAGCUCCCUCCCUGCACAUCACGAUUCUCCUGAGGACCAACAACUAAGAAGACCAUUCGCAGCAGCUGUUCCCACCACAGUGACAUCUCCACCCGGCGGGCUUCCCGGGUUAGAGCUUCAUCCAGUGCUGCUGGAUUGCAAUGGACACCACACAGCUACGUUAGAUCUCAUUUCUAACCCUUCUACAGUCCUGCAAGAUCACCUGAAAUAACAGCAUCGAUGGGUGCCCAUCUCAGAGACAACAGGAGCACUGGUAAGGACGCCCUCGACAGCAACCUCAGAGAAAUAAAGCGAAAUCCACCAUACACAGGACAAGAACUUCAGCUUGCUCCCCUCUCUUCCAGCAGUUCAGAGAGAGUCCUCCAGCCACGCUCGCCCCAGCAAAGGAGAGGGGGCUGGGCUGGAACCUUCAAGUUAGACAUAAUAAAGACAUUGGAAACAGUUCACAACAUGCCCCUCCUUAUCAAGGACAGCUCUGGUUUACGGUGUGUGUCCCUGUGUCAUCCUUGGCCUGCAGAUAAUGUCUCCCAUUCCAG